rnacentral:RNase_P_RNA from 1 species
UGAGUUGGCCAAGACAAUCGCUGCCUGCGCAAGCAGGGGGAGGAAAGUCCGGGCUCCACAGGGCAGGGUGCCAGGUAACGCCUGGGGGGCGUGAGCCUACGACCAGUGCAACAGAGAGCAAACCGCCGAUGGCCCAC